AUUCAUAAACCCUCUUAUGAAGGUGCAAGGUGAACUCUAAUGGCUCAUUUCUGAAUUCUGAAGUAGGAACCGGAGGUGAGUAAUUGUACAAAAAGCAUAGAGAGACUCUGUGUGUGUGUGUCUGUUCAUCACGCGCCGGCGAGUCGCCAAGGGAGAAAUGCCAACGGCGGGCAAGGUAGGGGACUGGGCAUUCAAGGCGUUCACAGCAGGUCUCGGCGUCGCCACCAUUUAUCUAGCCGCCACCUUCUCCGUCAACGUCUACCGCGGCCUCGCCUGGCACUCUUCCCAAUCGAAAGCCAAAAAGGUGGAAUCCGAUUAUCAAAAGUCAGAAUGAAGUAUUGUUACAGUUCAAGUUGUGAUUUGCUCUUUUAAGAAUAUAUAUUAUGAAGAAACUUCAUUUAGUUGAUUAUAGAAUAACUUCUUGAGCUCCUGAGCUUGUACGUGUUCUGGUCAAAUUGCUUGGAUGUACAUUUACCUUUUUUGAAUUGUAGCAACAAAGGUAUUUCUUGAAUUGUUGGACAUGCCUCUUUGAAACGACAAUUUGCAGAAUACAGAAUGCAUUUACACAAGAAA